AUUGAACGCUGGCGGCAGGCCUAACACAUGCAAGUCGAGCGAGCGGCGGAAGGGUGAGUAAUGUAUGGGGACUGCCCGCUGGAGGGGGAUAACUACUGGAGACGGUAGCUCAUACCGCAUACUAUCGGAUAACCCAUAUGGGAUUAGCUAGUGGGUGAGGUAAUGGCUCACCUAGGCGACGAUCCCUUGCUGGUCUGGGAGGAUGAUCAGCCACACUGGGACUGAGACACGGCCCAGACUCCUACGGAGGCAGCAGUGGGGAAUAUUGCACAAUGGGCGCAAGCCUGAUGCAGCCAUGCCGCGUGUAUGAAGAAGGCCCUAGGGUUGUAAAGUACUUUCAGUCGGGAGGCGUUACCGACAGAAGAAGCACCGGCUAACUCCGUGCCAGCAGCCGCGGUAAUUC
rnacentral:rRNA from 1 species